rnacentral:rRNA from 1 species
CGAACGGUAGCACAGAGAGCUUGCUCUCGGGUGACGAGUGGCGGACGGGUGAGUAAUGUCUGGGAAACUGCCUGAUGGAGGGGGAUAACUACUGGAAACGGUAGCUAAUACCGCAUAACGUCGCAAGACCAAAGAGGGGGACCUUCGGGCCUCUUGCCAUCAGAUGUGCCCAGAUGGGAUUAGCUAGUAGGUGGGGUAACGGCUCACCUAGGCGACGAUCCCUAGCUGGUCUGAGAGGAUGACCAGCCACACUGGAACUGAGACACGGUCCAGACUCCUACGGGAGGCAGCAGUGGGGAAUAUUGCACAAUGGGCGCAAGCCUGAUGCAGCCAUGCCGCGUGUAUGAAGAAGGCCUUCGGGUUGUAAAGUACUUUCAGCGGGGAGGAAGGUGUUGUGGUUAAUAACCGCAGCAAUUGACGUUACCCGCAGAAGAAGCACCGGCUAACUCCGUGCCAGCAGCCGCGGUAAUACGGAGGGUGCAAGCGUUAAUCGGAAUUACUGGGCGUAAAGCGCACGCAGGCGGUCUGUCAAGUCGGAUGCGAAAUCCCCGGGCUCAACCUGGGAACUGCAUUCGAAACUGGCAGGCUAGAGUCUUGUAGAGGGGGGUAGAAUUCCAGGUGUAGCGGUGAAAUGCGUAGAGAUCUGGAGGAAUACCGGUGGCGAAGGCGGCCCCCUGGACAAAGACUGACGCUCAGGUGCGAAAGCGUGGGGAGCAAACAGG